rnacentral:rRNA from 1 species
AUGGAGGGCCUGCUUAUGCUACUGGCAGUGAGCCAGAUGGGAAUCUGUUGUGCAGCUAAUAUAUACAGCUGGGGGCAUAGCUGUUUUGGCUCAUCCGUGGGCAUUGAAAAUCCUAUUCUUGUGAUAAAGGAUUUGAAAGUUGAUGGUCUGCAUGCUAUUGAGGUCUAUCGAAGCGAUGGAAAACUAUCUAGUUUGAGUGAUCUGGUUGAUACUUAUGAGCUUCUGAAGCUCGGUGGAUCAGAUUACCAUGGACGAGAUGACAAGGAAGAACCUGAUAUAGGAAGCGUUGAUCUUCCAGUCUUGGCAUUUUUUAGAUUUCUUGAGGUAGCUCAACCAAUUUGCUGCAAUGCUAUCAAGGAAAUUUUUGCAAACACCACUGAAAGAUCAUAA